rnacentral:rRNA from 1 species
GAUGAACGCUAGCGGCAGGCUUAAUACAUGCAAGUCGAGGGGGAUCAGUUGGGUAGCAAUACCUGGCUGUGAGACCGGCAAACGGGUGAGGAACACGUACGCAACUUUCUCAAAACUGGUGAAUAGCCCUCCGAAAGGAGGAUUAAUACACCGUAACAUAACGAAAUGGCAUCAUUUUGUUAUUAUAGCAGCAAUGCGGUUUUGGAUAGGCGUGCGCCUGAUUAGGUAGUUGGCGGGGUAACGGCCCACCAAGCCUACGAUCAGUAACUGGUGUGAGAGCACGACCAGUCACACGGGCACUGAGACACGGGCCCGACUCCUACGGGAGGCAGCAGUAAGGAAUAUUGGUCAAUGGACGAAAGUCUGAACCAGCCAUGCCGCGUGAAGGAUGAAGGGGCUCUGCCUUGUAAACUUCUUUUGCAUGGGACGAAAAAACUUAUUUAUUAAGGACUGACGGUACCAUGAGAAUAAGCACCGGCUAACUCCGUGCCAGCAGCCGCGGU